GACGAACGCUGGCGGCGUGCUUAACACAUGCAAGUCGAACGGUAAGGCUCCAGCUUGCUGGGGUACACGAGUGGCGAACGGGUGAGUAACACGUGGGUGACCUGCCCUGCACUUCGGGAUAAGCCUGGGAAACUGGGUCUAAUACCGGAUAGGACCGCACCGUGAGGGUGUGGUGGUAAGUUAUUUCGGUGUGGGAUGGGCCCGCGGCCUAUCAGCUUGUUGGUGGGGUAAUGGCCUACCAAGGCGGCGACGGGUAGCCGGCCUGAGAGGGUGGACGGCCACAUUGGGACUGAGACACGGCCCAGACUCCUACGGGAGGCAGCAGUGGGGAAUAUUGCACAAUGGGCGGAAGCCUGAUGCAGCGACGCCGCGUGGGGGAUGACGGCCUUCGGGUUGUAAACUCCUUUCACCAUCGACGAAGGGUUUCUGACGGUAGAUGGAGAAGAAGCACCGGCUAACUACGUG
rnacentral:rRNA from 1 species